CAUUAUGUCACUUUAUAUAAGGCUCUGUCUCCCUGGGAUUUCUGCUUGCUGGCUUGAUGAAUUAAGCCAGGUGGAAAGGUUUUCUUUAAGUGGGCAGCCUCAAGCCAACAGCCAGCAAGGAAAAAAAAACCUAUAUUCCACAAUCACCCUAUAUUCCACAACCCCGAGAAAAUAAGUAAGCUUGGAAGCAGAUUCUUCUCCAGUCAAGCUCCCAGAGGAGAACACAGCCAGGCUGACUCUUGAGUCCAGCCUUGUGAUGGCCCAGGUAAGCCAUGGCUAGGCUCCUGACUGAUAGAAAUUGUGACAUCACACAUGUGUUAUUUUAGGCUACUAAGUUUGUGAUAAUUUGUUGUGCAAUAAUAGCUUAGUUAAAUCAUGAUUAACCACUGGAAGAAGGAGGAAACCAACAUAUCUGAUGCACUGGACAAUGAAUAUCCAUUCAAAAUCAGGCUCUUCCAGGAAAGACGAGAGACACUUGGCUAUAGAAGUACAGAGAAGUUUUCUGCAAAAUGGAAAUGAGUAUCAUGAAGUUUUAAAUGAACAGUGUGAAACAGAAGAAAACAUCAGCAUUCAUUAUGUCCCAGACCUCUUUGAGAAUCUGACAAAAUUCUGGACAACCUCUCCUCCCACAAACAAGAUGUACUUGAAUACCUACACAUAAAAUGUUGCAUUCCAUUUUAGAAUGUGGAUAUCACUUGAGGCCUAUCCAGAGGUCUCUAAGGACUUGACUGGUGCAGUAUUGGUGGCUGCUGGAUCAGAUGAGCUCCCUUCUACUCAGAGAAACAAUCAAUGUUUGCAACCACUAAGAGGGACUUUUGUUAUUACCGCCUAUCCUGACAGAUUCAGGUGCUAUGACUAUUUAAGGGGGGAUCAGAGCAUUUAUGCUGUCGGUGUUGUUACCAACACAAUGGAGGUUUAUUUAAGUUCAUGUGGGUGCAAAUGCCACGUGAGUGCAAGUGCCUAGGUGAGGCAAAUAGUCCACGAUGCUCCAAGCUCAUCAUGAGCACCACAGGUAUUUAUUUUAAAAGUAUAUAUUGUUGGAUUUUCCUAUCUAUGAAUGUCUUAUACAUUGAAUCACAUUUUGCAAUCUUCUUCCAUCCCAAGUAUAUUGUAAUGGUCACCUAUGUUAAUAGAGGGAGUUCUGGUUAAUUCUUUUGCACUUACUAUACAUUGCCACACUGUAUUUAUACCUUCUUUUGUUGGUAGAUUUUCCCUCAAAAUAUUUACUAUUAUAAAUAUUUCUGUUAUAAUCAUCCUUGCAGAUGUGCAAGAGUUUCUCCUGAAGUGGAUUUGC
rnacentral:lncRNA from 1 species